ACUUAUUUUGAAAACGUACAAGGGCCUGCCAGAGGAGGAACCAUCCCAGUGUUGGGCUGUGCAUAAAACCAAAGCGAAACACUCAGUUUUUGCAAGAAAAGCAUCAGACAGAAGUGUAGUACACUACAAACACUAGAAAACUUUGUGAGCGACAUGGAUAUUAACGAAAUUUGUGAAUUAGACACAAUGGAUUCCCUAAUAGGAAAUACACGUAUACCUUCAAACUUUCUACUAGGCUAUACGUUCCUGCAGUUUCUCUUAACUAUCGCCAAUCAACAUUUUCUCACACCGUAUAAUCAACUACUUGUGCCGACUCCACUGAAUUUCGGUAUCACCCUAUACACAAGGAUACUGAACAAGGCCGAUGGGACGGAAACUGUACCAGUUUACUAGAACCAAACCGUAAGGACACAUUAAGAUGAGAAAUGCGGAACACGGAAACAGAGGGAGAGAGAGA